rnacentral:rRNA from 1 species
GGGGGCUAUACAUGCAGUCGAGCGAAUGGAUUAAGAGCUUGCUCUUAUGAAGUUAGCGGCGGACGGGUGAGUAACACGUGGGUAACCUACCCAUAAGACUGGGAUAACUCCGGGAAACCGGGGCUAAUACCGGAUAAUAUUUUGAACUGCAUAGUUCGAAAUUGAAAGGCGGCUUCGGCUGUCACUUAUGGAUGGACCCGCGUCGCAUUAGCUAGUUGGUGAGGUAACGGCUCACCAAGGCGACGAUGCGUAGCCGACCUGAGAGGGUGAUCGGCCACACUGGGACUGAGACACGGCCCAGACUCCUACGGGAGGCAGCAGUAGGGAAUCUUCCGCAAUGGACGAAAGUCUGACGGAGCAACGCCGCGUGAGUGAUGAAGGCUUUCGGGUCGUAAAACUCUGUUGUUAGGGAAGAACAAGUGCUAGUUGAAUAAGCUGGCACCUUGACGGUACCUAACCAGAAAGCCACGGCUAACUACGUGCCAGCAGCCGCGGUAAUACGUAGGUGGCAAGCGUUAUCCGGAAUUAUUGGGCGUAAAGCGCGCGCAGGUGGUUUCUUAAGUCUGAUGUGAAAGCCCACGGCUCAACCGUGGAGGGUCAUUGGAAACUGGGAGACUUGAGUGCAGAAGAGGAAAGUGGAAUUCCAUGUGUAGCGGUGAAAUGCGUAGAGAUAUGGAGGAACACCAGUGGCGAAGGCGACUUUCUGGUCUGUAACUGACACUGAGGCGCGAAAGCGUGGGGAGCAAACAGGAUUAGAUACCCUGGUAGUCCACGCCGUAUACGAUGAGUGCUAAGUGUUAGAGGGUUUCCGCCCUUUAGUGCUGAAUUUAACGCAUUAAGCACUCCGCCUGGGGAGUACGGCCGCAAUGCUGAAACUCAAAGGAAUUGACGGGGGCCCGCACAACCCGUGGAACAUGUGGUUUAAUUCGAACCACCGCGAAGAACCUUACCAGGUCUUGACAUCCUCUGAAAACUCUUAAGAUAGAGCUUCUCCUUCGGGACCAAAAUUACAAGUGGUGCAUGGUUGUCGUCAACUCCUGUCCUGAAAAUUUGGGUUAAUUCCCCCAACAAGGCCAACCCUUGACCUAAAUUCCAUCCUUAAGUUGGGCAUCCUAAGGGACUGCCCGUAACAACCCAAGAAAGGUGGGAUAACCUCCAUCCCCAC